rnacentral:SRP_RNA from 1 species
GCCAGGUGUGGCAGCACACGCCUGUAAUCCCAGCUACUCAGGAGGCUGAGGCAGGAGAAUUGCUUGAGCCUGGGAUGGAUGGAGGUUGCAGUGAGCCGAGAUUAUGCCACUGCACUCCAGCCUGGGUGACAGAGCAAGACCCUGUCUCAA